AGCCUUGAGGCUGCGGUGAAUCUCGUGUUUAGUGGGUGUCGUACCUUUUGCAUCAUGAUUCCUUGAAGGAGUUCGGUUAGUCUGGUGUCUCGAAAGACGGUGAUUCGGGUCUGCCUUGUUUUUAGAACUUAGGGGUUGGUGGGUAACCAAAGUUGAAAGGUAGGUCCGGAGGUGACAUGCAUUACGUACCGUCUCAUAGCUAGUUGCCGGAGUCGAGUUUUCAAACUAUGGCCCCGUUGCUUGGAUGUGGCGGGGUUGUCAAGAGGGCUUUUUGGGUUGAUGAGUUGGCUAGGUUAGAGGUACCUUGUUUUAGCUUCGUGUUAUGACGAUUGACUCGGAUUGUUUGGGCUUUUUGGUUUAGUGCUCUGGGCUUAGGCGUAACGGUCUGUUUUCAAGUGUGGGGUAAUGAGUAGUUUGAAUGGCUUCCUUUUUUCUCGGAGAUCUCCGGUCUGUUUCUCAAAAACAUUUCCAUCAGGAAGGUUUGAUGGUAGUGCCUGCCCGAUGUUUGCAAUAAAUGGCCGCAGUAUCUUGACUGUGCUAAGGUAGCAUAAUCAGUUGCCUUGUAAUUGAAGGAUUGUUUGAACGGUUUGACCAGGGGGGUGUGUCUAGAUGGGGGCCAUCUCUGAAAUUAGGUGGCUGGUGCAGAUCCCAGCGAUUUUUAAUCAGACGGAAAGACCCCGAGAGCUUUGGCAGUUUUGUGCUUACU
rnacentral:rRNA from 1 species